UACGAAGGGGGCUAGCGUUGUUCGGAAUUACUGGGCGUAAAGCGCGCGCAGGCGGCUAUCCAAGUCAGUGGUGAAAGCCCGGAGCUCAACUCCGGAACUGCCAUUGAAACUGUUUAGCUUGAGGACGAGAGAGGUGAGUGGAAUUCCCAGUGUAGAGGUGAAAUUCGUAGAUAUUGGGAAGAACACCGGUGGCGAAGGCGGCUCACUGGCUCGUAUCUGACGCUCAGGUGCGAAAGCGUGGGGAGCAAACAGG
rnacentral:rRNA from 1 species